UACGUAGGGUGCGAGCGUUGUCCGGAAUUAUUGGGCGUAAAGAGCUCGUAGGCGGUUUGUUGCGUCGGCCGUGAAAACCUGCAGCUUAACUGUGGGCCUGCGGCCGAUACGGGCAGACUUGAGUUCGGUAGGGGAGACUGGAAUUCCUGGUGUAGCGGUGAAAUGCGCAGAUAUCAGGAGGAACACCGGUGGCGAAGGCGGGUCUCUGGGGCCGAUACUGACGCUGAGGAGCGAAAGCGUGGGGAGCGAACAGG
rnacentral:rRNA from 1 species